CACCCCGGUGCGGCCCCCGCCUGCCCGCGCGCGCACACUCGGCCCCCCGCGGCCGGCCCAACGGGGGUCACGCGCGAACCCCAGCUCCCGAGGAGGUUCCGCCUCCGGGCCGGCCGGGUGCGGGGCGAGGGGAGCGCACCCCGACUUCCAUGGAUCACAUGGGCUGCGGGGGGCGGGUGGAGCGGGGGCGGGGGAGGCGCGGGGAGCUGUGCCGCGGCUGCUCACCCCGGCCGGGGAGAAGACGCCCCCCACCACCUCUAGUUCGGCCUCUCCGUUCAAGUUCGCCGGCCCCUGCCGCCGGGAUCCGGGGAUGGCACCAGCCGCCCGCCCUGCUCUGCGCCCUGUUUCCAGCCACCGCGCAGAAAUUUAGGUCAAGGACGUCGGGAGCAAACCCACGCCCUGGCGCUCCCCGGGCUGCCCCGAAGACCCCCCAGGAUCGGGAGGCUUGAGGAUGGUGGAGACCCUCCUGCACGAGCACCAGCCUCAAGUUUUAUUUUCCUUUCACGCUGGAAGUUCUCUCUGGCUCUCUCGCUCCACACCGGCACGUCUUGAGCGACUCCCCGCCCUUCCCCAGCAGAGGAUUAGGAGACAAUGGAAUACACUCAACACCAAAACUGUACCGUGGGCCUUGGAAAAGUGGAGUGUUUGGAAAAUCUCCAACAUCAGCGAAAGCCUUGUGUGACCAGAUCCUUAACCUCUCUGUCCCCUAAAUUGGGAUAAUUCCUCCCUGACAGGAUCGGUGGGGAGGGGUUGAGGGUUUGAAGCGAACAAAGUACAAACUCCCUUUUUCGUCGCAAACCUAUGUGGGUUGUACUUAUCAGCAGAUAGUUAAUGUGAAUUUUAGAAGGUGCUUGACACCACAAACCCAAGGAUUCCUGUCACUCUGUGAGUUGCUUCCCAAAUCAUCUGGGGUCUUGUGUUGAGCCAGUUGUUAUUAUGAUUGUUUAUCAUGAUUAUUCUCAAUAACAAAAUGCAGGCAACAGA